rnacentral:lncRNA from 1 species
AUGGUGCGAAUAGGGGAGAGGAGGAUGAAAGACUAUUUUGCUGGAGGUGUCGAAUUCUUUUUGAAAAUUUGUACAGAAUGCAAUAAGUGGUGGUGGCGGUUCACCUGUUAUUGCUGCUCGGUGACUUGGUUUCUCAAUUUUGGCUUUCAAAGAUGUCUGGGCUUUCAAAUAUUUGAGCAGGAGUGCCAUGUGUUUUAUGCAGCAACAAAGGAGCUAUUGCAGUUAGGCAGCCUUAUAUUAGGGUUGUUGGAAUAA